rnacentral:lncRNA from 1 species
GAAAGAAAGAAAAGGUGAGGAAUGUUAACUAAGAUUCCUUAAAGUCCUUACAGAGAGAAUAGCAUAAAGGCAAACAGCCAAAAAAGAAAGUCAUUGGCAGCAUUGUGAUAUUGGAGAUUCAGUGGUGAGGAAAUCUUCCAAACCUUUUAGCUCCUACGUGUGAGCAUCCAAGGCACAAGUAUUCAGUCAAUAAUAUUAAUCAAUUUGUUUAGCCAUAAAUUUAUUCACUGUAGGAUUACUCAAUUUUUGUUUAGUAUUAGUCAGUCAAUAAUAACAUUCACUAACUAUUUUGCUAAUUAAUUGUAUGUGCAAUCUCAAAAGAUGUUGAUUAAUUUCUGUUGCCAGUCAGA